rnacentral:rRNA from 1 species
AUAGCAAUAUCUAUGGUGGCGACCGGCGCACGGGUGCGUAACGCGUAUGCAACCUACCUUUAACAGGGGGAUAACACUGAGAAAUUGGUACUAAUACCCCAUAAUAUCAUAGAAGGCAUCUUUUAUGGUUGAAAAUUCCGAUGGUUAGAGAUGGGCAUGCGUUGUAUUAGCUAGUUGGUGGGGUAACGGCUCACCAAGGCGACGAUACAUAGGGGGACUGAGAGGUUAACCCCCCACACUGGAACUGAGACACGGUCCAGACUCCUACGGGAGGCAGCAGUGAGGAAUAUUGGUCAAUGGACGCGAGUCUGAACCAGCCAUGCCGCGUGCAGGAUGACGGCUCUAUGAGUUGUAAACUGCUUUUGUACGAGGGUAAACGCAGAUACGUGUAUCUGUCUGAAAGUAUCGUACGAAUAAGGAUCGGCUAACUCCGUGCCAGCAGCCGCGGUAAUACGGAGGAUGCAAGCGUUAUCCGGAUUUAUUGGGUUUAAAGGGUGCGUAGGCGGUUUGAUAAGUUAGAGGUGAAAUUUCGGGGCUCAACCCUGAACGUGCCUCUAAUACUGUUGAGCUAGAGAGUAGUUGCGGUAGGCGGAAUGUAUGGUGUAGCGGUGAAAUGCUUAGAGAUCAUACAGAACACCGAUUGCGAAGGCAGCUUACCAAACUAUAUCUGACGUUGAGGCACGAAAGCGUGGGGAGCAAACAGGAUUAGAUACCCUGGUAGUCCACGCAGUAAACGAUGAUAACUCGUUGUCGGCGAUACACAGUCGGUGACUAAGCGAAAGCGAUAAGUUAUCCACCUGGGGAGUACGUUCGCAAGAAUGAAACUCAAAGGAAUUGACGGGGGCCCGCACAAGCGGAGGAACAUGUGGUUUAAUUCGAUGAUACGCGAGGA